rnacentral:sRNA from 1 species
AUACAUAAAAUAAGUAAAUAUAUCUUUUAAAAUGUUAUAAUGAAACUCAUUAUAAUGGGUAGUCAACAUAUGCUAAUACAAAACCUAAGACACAAGAGUAGAAUGCAAGAUGCACAGACUGGAAGUUCAUGAACAUAUAAUAGAAAAGUAACUUUUUUCUAAUCUUACUACCUAUGUCUGUUGGGUUUGGAGAGAAGCCGGACAAACCCACUUCAAAGAACAGAGGCUUAAACCAAAGGCUUAUCCUCUGAGCACACAGAGAGGUGACCAGCUCCGGAUCUGAACCUCAUCCCUAAAGGGAAAUUGUAUAGCAUAUUAAAAAGAUGAGACCAAAAGCUGAAGGGGGGGGGCAUGGUAGACUGUAGCAUGAGUCAAUCAUCUUUCUACAGGAGGAGGUGAGUACGAGAGUUUCCAUGGUCGUUCUGUCCCAACUUAGGUCUGGUAGUCACAGGAAGGGAGUAAAUGUUGGGGGUUGGGCCUUAUCUGGACCACCUGGUUUUAAAGUCCUCGACUCAGGAGCCUUGGUGGUGAGGCCCCAUACUGGACCUUUGGCCUAGAACUCAAAACUGAGAAGGGAGUAAAGUUAUGGGCAAGCAGCACAGCCCAUUAGGUCCUGACAGGCAGUCAGUUUUAUACAUUUAUAACUGGUCACCUUAGUUUAGUUAACUCUCUUCUUUAUUCUCCUUACUGGUUAACAAACAAUCGAGAAGCAUCUGGAACAACAGCAUAGGAGGUGGUUCCUAGGCCUGGGAACAUGAGCUCAGUUUGACCCUGCCAGCAAGAAGUCCUUGAGAAGGCUGAACUCAGACAACAACUGUCCUCAGACAACUGUCUACCUACAUUCCCCUUUCUUCAUGCUCCUGAAUCCAAUCUUCGAUGUUAUGCCUCCUGUCCAUUAUACAAGGAAUUGCAUUGUGUCCUCAAAACUCGGCUAUACAGAGGCCUUCUUGCCUUAAAAACAGCCGAUCUAAGUCACACCAGUUCUGGAGGACCAUCUCAGCCAAUGAAUCAAUUUGGGUGUCCAGGAAGGAGAUGGGAGAAUGUAAGCUGGAGAUGCCUCGGUCCACCUGCUCACUUUGGAGCCUCGGAUUCUGUUCCUGGUUAUCAAGGCUGUGGUUCCCAAGGCAGCUGAGCCAGCUCUCCCUGUCCCAAUUAGCACAGGCAUUGGCAUGGGAGCCAGUCUUCACAUAUGUCCAGCCACUCUGGGAAGACUUUCCCAGAGUAAUAUAAAACCCGGGGGACAGUACGUACAAGAACAUGUAUUUCGUGUGAUUCGGUAGCUUGGAAAUGGUUCAGGGACAAACUAGGGGUAAUUCCAUAGGAACAAGCAACCCAGGUGGGUUUUCCUGCUGCUAGCAGGUUGGUGGGACUUACUAAGCUCCAUUUGGUGAGGCUGUGUCAUUACAAAUGGCAGAGUAGGGGGAAGUUUGUAGCAGGUAUUUGUCCGACUUGAAACAGGUGCCUGCCCCCUUAGUUCCUCUGAUGUCGGGCCUGUUUCUCACGGACAAAGAGCAGAGGAUAUCUAUAGGGGUGGAGGUCAGAAAGGAGGUAGACGGAUCCUCCCGCACUGCUAAUCCAAUGUAAGAUAUAGUACAGGAGCUGUGGGUCUAAGCAGAGCUAACCGUCCCUGUUUAAGUUAGGGUUUGUGACGUUUAAAUACUAAAUGUGGCAUUAAUGAACCUAAAUAGGGUCCAUUGACAAAACAAAAAAACAAAACAAAACAAAAAACAGAUACGGUAUGUAUUGGGGCGUCUAGUCCCUCGAAUAGGGGAAGAGAAAAAGAUGGGGGGCUCUGGGUAGUCAUGAGAGUUGUUUCCCUCUACGUGACUUCAGUUGUGGGGACUGUCGUUUGCUGUCUCACAAGUGGCCCAGUGGGCCCUGGCUUCACAGGUGAAGCUAGAUGCUGGAUGAUGAAAAGCAAGCCUGGAUUUUUACCGCUACGUUGGAGGCCACUGUGCAGUUGUCAUUGCCAGUCCUGGGCAGGGACCCAUUCCAUCUUUUAAGGGCAACAGUAACCAGGUUACAGGUUGAGGCUACUUCACAGGUCACAUUUUUCCCCCUCAAUGUUUAUAUUUAUGAAGCUUUCUGUGGCUCCUGGGUCCUGUCCCUGUGCCCAAGUCAUACAGGACCAGUAAGAGCAAUAGAAUUCUUUUUCUGUCCUGACAUUUGGGGCUCUUGGGGCCUUUUUGCAGGACAUACAUAAAAUUUCUGGGACCAAAAAAAUGUUCUUCUUGGACCUGGCCAACCUGGCAGCCUGUUUCCCAGUUAAUCACCCUUAUCACCCUUAGUCGCCAUGGUCUGGGAAUGUGGGUGGCUUGACCAAUAAUCUGACUAAAGUUUACAUGAGUCAUUUGAA